rnacentral:rRNA from 1 species
UACGGAGGGGGCUAGCGUUGUUCGGAAUUACUGGGCGUAAAGCGCGCGUAGGCGGACCUGCAAGUCGGGGGUGAAAGCCCGAGGCUCAACCUCGGAACUGCCUUCGAUACUGCGGGUCUCGAGUCCGGGAGAGGUGAGUGGAAUUCCUAGUGUAGAGGUGAAAUUCGUAGAUAUUAGGAAGAACACCCGUGGCGAAGGCGGCUCUCUGGUACGUGACUGACGCUGAGACGCGAAAGCGUGGGGAGCGAACAGG